rnacentral:rRNA from 1 species
GUGUCAGCAGCCGCGGUAAUACAGAGGUCCCAAGCGUUGUUCGGAUUCACUGGGCGUAAAGGGUGCGUAGGUGGUGGGGUAAGUCGGAUGUGAAAUCUCCGAGCUCAACUCGGAAAUGGCAUUGGAAACUACCCUGCUAGAGGGUCGGAGGGGGGACUGGAAUACUUGGUGUAGCAGUGAAAUGCGUAGAUAUCAAGUGGAACACCAGUGGCGAAGGCGAGUCCCUGGACGACUCCUGACACUGAGGCACGAAAGCUAGGGGAGCAAACAGGAUUAGAUACCCCCGUAGUCC